AGCUGGCCUGAGGGGUGAGCCCAGAGGGGCUGUGUUAAAAGGUGGGUUAGGCUUGCCUGGAGGAGGCAGCCUGCAGGCUUGCAGGGCUCCUGGGCUGGCAUCAGCACCUCUCUUGCUCCAUCCCAAGGGCAGCUCCUCUCAGGAAGGAGCUGGAAAUGGCUGUUUUUUGUUAAGGCUUCAGGGUCCUGUUAGGCUCUACAAACACAGCAUGAAAACCAUUCCCUGAGCAAUCACUGAAGCCUGAAUAAAAAGCAACAAGAAAAGGACUCUUCCAUUACAGACCACAGUUCUUCCUCUGAGCCAUCCAUCUGCUGUCAACUGAUCAUCUUUAGUGUCUCAAGCAAGCCAGAAGACAAUUUCUUUGCUUUUCCUCCUGUGUUUGCUAUUUCUGUGGCUGACACUUGAUGUGCAUUUGGCACCAGAGCUGCACAACUGCACUUUGCUCAUCCAUGGUACCUUUUGUCUCUUCUGUCAUCAGACCUGCUCUCUCUGGUGUUUGCACCUUCCAGCUCACCUGAGGGUAAAACCUGCAGUUCAUCCAGAAAGGAGGAGUGUUUUUGUAAGGGCACACAAAGCCCAUUUGUUGCCUGAAUGCUGCAGAAAUGGCCUUUUAAUGGCAAAACACAGAGGUAGCCAAAAACCAGCCUUGAAACCUUCUGAUGAAGAUGCUCCAGAUGUGUUUCUAUUCAGCUCCCUCAUGUAAGAGUGGUGCUGUU